GGGAUGGUGAGCCACACAGAAGCUUCAGGGCCACCAGUGAAAUGCCCAGUUGCUGCAUGUGCAGCUAUUCGGAACAUGGGAGAGGCACAUGUAAGCACCUGCCUUUAUCAAGGCCCUGCAGAGAACUAGGAAGGAAACCUCCAGCUUCCAUUAUAAACUCUCAGUCUGAGCUGCUUUGUUGCAAAGUAUCGAUUCUCCAUUGCAAAGCUUUCUUAUAUUAGGGAAAUGGACACUAAUUCCAGGUUGGGGGACUGAAACUGACUCAAAGAGAAAUAACCUUCAUUUCCCUGGUAAAUAUCAACCCACCUGAUGAACGGCCAACCUGCUUCUGCUUCUUCCCCAAAGUGGUUUGCUACCCAAGAGAUUUGUAUAGCUAAGGAAUGCAUUCAGUAUCUCCUCUGGGCCAGUCCUGGUUGGUAGGUUUGAAACUAUGUUUUAGUUUACUUUAUUUAUUUUCUCUCAGUCAACUAACUUUUGCUCCAUCUCUUUCCAUUUAGAAAAUGUUGUUGGUUUCCACAAUCUCUCCGGAUGUCAGCCAGAUAUGCCUUACGCGUUGUAACCCUACCCAUGUCUACUGCUGUUGAGUUCAAUGGCGCCUGCUCCCAGGUGAGUGGGCAUAAGAUUGAUGUCUUGACAAUGACAUCUCUGUGAAACCGAGGGAACUUUGCUUGCAGUGACUGUAAGAUCAAACCUUGACAGCGGUAAGAAUGCUGAGAUAAAAGGUCACUGAAGUCUUUGAAAGGUUUCAGAAAAGAAGUUGCUUAAAGUGUGACCUUCCUUUAUUCCAGAUCUUUGAUAUCCUAUCAAAUAAUUAUCAUGCAGAAUUCCUCAGAAGGAUAAUUUACUCAGAUGGCUUUGGUUCCACAAAGGAGAAUUAUGAACCGUAAUAUUAAAAAAAAAGAAAAAAAAGACGACUCAUGCCAGAAACAGCCCCUUUUUUGGCCAAUGCUGAGUAAGUAUUAUCUCACUAUUUAGCCAAGUCAAUUGCUUUUGUUGUUAAAAAGGUCCCCCUCUUGGAUCUGAGCUGCUGGAUAGGCUUUUGUGGUGGGUGGGUUGCAAUUUUAGCUAAUGAGCCAGGCAGUGCAAUCUCAGUGCUUUGUAAUGGCUUUAGUCGCAUUUGACUUCAUGCACGAAUAGUCAGAAACCAGCCAAAAGGAAGGUCAGGCAACAUGCUGAUAAGGAAAUAAUCCUAAAUCUCCAUUUGGGGUGAUUUCAUUGCAAAAAUGCUUAUUCUUGUGACAAGGUCACAUUAGAAUUUGAAUCAUCGCCUUUCCUUUUGGCUUUGUUCAACACUACUUUGAACAGCUUCUUCCUGUUGCGGGUUCCUUUCAGCUAUUCAUGUCAAGUGCCGCUGAAAACCUGUGUUGACUUCCUGUUGUUGUCCCCCCCCCCUUUGGAGUAACUCCUGCUUUGAUUAGUAAACAAAACUUUGCACAGCUGAUUGGCAUGUGGGGCCUUCAGGUGUUAUAACUGGACAACAGACCUGUCUGGUUCCCAGGUACAUGAACUGCCCAUAGCACAGGAUAUGUGAUAUGAGUGUGGACAGAAUUUAUUUACUUGUUGCUUUAGAAAGUGAUUUAGUGUUACAGACAAGUAGAUGUUUGAUUCCAAACACUUUGGAUUAGACUUCACAUCUAAAGUGGGGCCUUGGUGCACUUUUCUGAAGCUUUGUAUGGCCCCUUCUUGACUGUAAUGUGGAUCAAUGAGUAUCUAAUUCCAUCCACACCCACCCACCCACCCAUACACCCCAAUCCACAGCACGAGUUUCACAUUCCUGCUGCGUUCUUGAUGGAGUAGACAACAUUUUAUUCAUAAAAAUUUGGAAGUGUGCACUAAAGUAGUACUUGGACCAAUAUACAGAAUAGCUCUAUAUUACACUAUUAUUCAUUGAGACACAGACCAACAAAAUAUUCAACACUGAACUUAAAUGCAAGUAGGGGCAGGGUUUGGUGGUGCCACUGCUGCAUCUGCAGCCCUGCUGCUCGUGGCAGCUGUGGCGAAAGGCGUGGGACAGGGCAGGUGCAUCAUUCAGACCCGGAUCGGGCCCAAUGCCAUUAUGUGACAGCUUGGAAUUCAGAAGAUGCCAGGCCAACUCAGCAAAACAACCUCCCUGCCGUGCAAACACCCUGUUUGGGGACCUUCUGCUGCCUGCUGCCAACAGGUAGUCCAUCACAGACACACCUGCUCAUUUGUACAUUUGGCAGCCAGUGAGGGGCUGGCUCAGUCAGGAGAACUGAGUGGAAGGAUACAAAUACCCUUCCAAAAUGUCCAUGAUGCUUUGGAGCAGCUUGCUUUGUUUUGGACCACUUUGGACAAAUCCCACUUCAUUUUGGAGCAAGUCUGAGUACUUCCAAAGUGGCCCACUUUGGUUCAGUAUCCAGCUAUUUUCUGAAGUGGAUGCACACUAGGUAAGCUCUUUUGAUUGCCUCAUUGUGUGGCGAGAUUUAAUUGCUGGUCAGUAAUGACCAUAUUGUAGUAGUGACAUUUACCCCCCCCCCCAAAAAAAGGGAACAGCUCAUCAUACUUGGCCGAAUGUGGCCACAUGUCUUGAUCUCGGACACACAAAGCCUCUGUAUUUGUUUUUCAAAUUCUUAUUUAUGGAAGUGUCCAAGUAUAACAGUCAACUUGUAAAGGGACCAUCAGUGGUCUGAGAGAACUGUAGGGGCAGCUCCUCACCCAUCUUCCCUGAAACUUCUCUGAGGAAAGGUGGAAGAGAACAAAUCCAGGCCAGGGAUCAGAGCCAUCAAUUCCGGAGUUAGCCUGAAUAUUUUGUACCAUUUGUUUGUGUGAAGAUUUUAAACCGUAAACCACCUUGGUGGCUGGACCUGAUGUUGGAGUAUCACCUUUUUUGUAUUUUGCCCUGUUCACAGCAUAGCCUGUAGGCACUCGCACCCUGUAGUUCCCUAUCUUCUUCAACCCUGAAAGGAUACUAUGUGAGAUAAUUGGUCAUACUUUAUGGGUUUGGUGAACCACUCUAGCCCACCUGCCUGUAUUCUUUAAAAAUUCCAGAGGGUCAUUUCUGCCCCCAAGUUAUUUGUAAUGCUUUGUUGAAAUCAAAGGCUCCCCCCCCCCCGUCUCUGGAUGGUUUCUUUCAUUCAUAGGCUUUCUCCCAUGAGAUUUGAAUUGUAGAUGAUUCUGUACAUUUAUAUUUAAUACUGGAGAACUAACCAGCCAUGUAGGUAUUUAUAUGGCUCUAAAGUCAUAUGAAAAUGCUUUGUACUGCUGAAAUUGAUGUUUAUGCUUUCGCUGUCAGAUACUGCAUUUUCAUUGUUGUUUGUUAAAAUGUGUGUGUGUGUGUGUGUGUUUCUCCUCAUGCCUGUGGAGAAAUAUAACCCAUUUGGAUUUGCCUAAAGAUGAAUUAACACAUGCGUUUUUCAUUAAACUGCUGUAUACUUCUGAUUCAUGUAACUUUGUCACAUACACACCAUAUGUUUUAAACACAUGACUUCCUCCAAAGAAUGCUGGGAACUGUAGUUUGUUAAGGUGCUGGGAGUUGUAGAUCUGCAAAGCGUAAACUACUGUUGCCAAGAUUCUUUGGAGAGGAAAAAGAUGGUUAAUGCACUUCAAUUGUAUGGUGUGGAAGUGACCUUUGAUUAAGCACGGAGUAGGUAUAAAAUUGGGAUGCGGGUGGCGCUGUGGGUUAAACCACAGAGCCUAGGGCUUGCCAAUCAGAAGGUCGGCGGUUCGAAUCCCCAUGAUGGGGUGAGCUCCCGUUGCUCGGUCCCUGCUCCUGCCAACCUAGCAGUUCGAAAGCAUGUCAAAGUGCAAGUAGAUAAAUAGGUACCGCUCCGGUGGGAAGGUAAACAGUGUUUCCGUGCGCUGCUCUGGUUCGCCAGAAGUGGCUUAGUCAUGCUGGCCACAUGACCCGGAAGCUGUAUGCCGGCUCCCUCGGCCAAUAAAGCAAAAUGAGUGCCGCAACCCCAGAGUCGGUCACGACUGGACCUAACGGUCAGGGGUCCCUUUACCUUUUAGGUAUAAAAUUGUGGAUUAAAGAACAACAUAACUUGAUUAAAAAUUGCUGUGCGUCCCCCCCCCCUUUUUAAAGGAGCUUCCUAUCUGUGCCUCAUUACUUUCAGUGGAGGACCUAGCCAGCUUUCUCCCACUUGCCAUUAUGAUUUGCUUUGUGUUGAAUUUAGCAUGAUUUCUGGUCAGACAGGAUGGUCAUAGAAAGGAGAAUGGUGAUCUUGUGAAAGGGCAGGCAACUGUGGGAAGAGUAUGGGUAACUGACUAGAGCAGGGGUAGCUAAUGGAGUCCUUUCCAGAUGUUGAGAACUGUAACAUCCAACAGCCCCAGGCAAUCCAUGACAAUGAUAGAGUCCACAGUGUUUGGAGGAUGCCAUGUUGGUGCCCACACAAGGAGAGCCACCUCUUCAACCUUCCAGAUAUUUGGGAUUCCAAAUACUACCAUCGUUGACCAUUGGGCAUGUUCAUAGUGGCUGAUGGGAGUUGUAACCUAAAACAUCUGGAGCGACCUGGGUGGGAGUAUCAGGAUACAGAUGGCUGACCAAAAAUAGUAGUUAUUAUAUUUUUAUGCAUGGUUUUUAGUGAUAAAUACAAGCAUUGCUUUGUUUCUUGGGAAUAAGGCAGAUGAAUAUGUGAACAUUCCAGCUAUUUUACUGAAGCUAUACUCCGCCAGUUUCCUUUUAUUUGUUUUUCCAAUUAGGUGUUUUCAUCCGUUGGUUCUCACAUGUUAUCGUCACUGAAAAUAAAAAUAAAUAAAAAUCGGCACCUGACUUUUUCCUCCCCCCGCCCCCCGAGGAAGCAUUGGCACUAUAGCCAUCAAAGCUGCGAAGGCACAGUGGCAAAUCAUCACCUUGG